GGGUUGUGAGGUUAAGCGACUAAGCGUACACGGUGGAUGCCCUGGCAGUCAGAGGCGAUGAAGGGCGUGCUAAUCUGCGAUAAGCGCCGGUAAGGUGAUAUGAACCGUUAUAACCGGCGAUACCCGAAUGGGGAAACCCAGUGUGAUUCGUCACACUAUCAUUAACUGAAUCCAUAGGUUAAUGAGGCGAACCGGGGGAACUGAAACAUCUAAGUACCCCGAGGAAAAGAAAUCAACCGAGAUUCCCCCAGUAGCGGCGAGCGAACGGGGAGGAGCCCAGAGCCUGAAUCAGCAUGUGUGUUAGUGGAAGCGUCUGGAAAGGCGCGCGAUACAGGGUGACAGCCCCGUACACAAAAGCGCAUGUGCUGUGAGCUCGAUGAGUAGGGCGGGACACGUGGUAUCCUGUCUGAAUAUGGGGGGACCAUCCUCCAAGGCUAAAUACUCCUGACUGACCGAUAGUGAACCAGUACCGUGAGGGAAAGGCGAAAAGAACCCCGGCGAGGGGAGUGAAAAAGAACCUGAAACCGUGUACGUACAAGCAGUGGGAGCACAGGUUUACCUGUGUGACUGCGUACCUUUUGUAUAAUGGGUCAGCGACUUAUAUUCUGUAGCAAGGUUAACCGUAUAGGGGAGCCGUAGGGAAACCGAGUCUUAACCGGGCGUUAAGUUGCAGGGUAUAGACCCGAAACCCGGUGAUCUAGCCAUGGGCAGGUUGAAGGUUGGGUAACACUAACUGGAGGACCGAACCGACUAAUGUUGAAAAAUUAGCGGAUGACCUGUGGCUGGGGGUGAAAGGCCAAUCAAACCGGGAGAUAGCUGGUUCUCCCCGAAAGCUAUUUAGGUAGCGCCUCGUGAAUUCAUCUCCGGGGGUAGAGCACUGUUUCGGCUAGGGGGCCAUCCCGGCUUACCAACCCGAUGCAAACUGCGAAUACCGGAGAAUGUUAUCACGGGAGACACACGGCGGGUGCUAACGUCCGUCGUGAAGAGGGAAACAACCCAGACCGCCAGCUAAGGUCCCAAAGUCAUGGUUAAGUGGGAAACGAUGUGGGAAGGCCCAGACAGCCAGGAUGUUGGCUUAGAAGCAGCCAUCAUUUAAAGAAAGCGUAAUAGCUCACUGGUCGAGUCGGCCUGCGCGGAAGAUGUAACGGGGCUAAACCAUGCACCGAAGCUGCGGCAGCGACGCUUAUGCGUUGUUGGGUAGGGGAGCGUUCUGUAAGCCUGUGAAGGUGGCCUGUGAGGGUUGCUGGAGGUAUCAGAAGUGCGAAUGCUGACAUAAGUAACGAUAAAGCGGGUGAAAAGCCCGCUCGCCGGAAGACCAAGGGUUCCUGUCCAACGUUAAUCGGGGCAGGGUGAGUCGACCCCUAAGGCGAGGCCGAAAGGCGUAGUCGAUGGGAAACGGGUUAAUAUUCCCGUACUUGGUGUUACUGCGAAGGGGGGACGGAGAAGGCUAUGUUGGCCGGGCGACGGUUGUCCCGGUUUAAGCGUGUAGGUGUGUGUUCCAGGUAAAUCCGGUUCACUUUAACACUGAGGCGUGAUGACGAGGCACUACGGUGCUGAAGCAACAAAUGCCCUGCUUCCAGGAAAAGCCUCUAAGCAUCAGGUAACAUCAAAUCGUACCCCAAACCGACACAGGUGGUCAGGUAGAGAAUACCAAGGCGCUUGAGAGAACUCGGGUGAAGGAACUAGGCAAAAUGGUGCCGUAACUUCGGGAGAAGGCACGCUGACACGUAGGUGAAGUGAUUUACUCACGGAGCUGAAGUCAGUCGAAGAUACCAGCUGGCUGCAACUGUUUAUUAAAAACACAGCACUGUGCAAACACGAAAGUGGACGUAUACGGUGUGACGCCUGCCCGGUGCCGGAAGGUUAAUUGAUGGGGUCAGCGCAAGCGAAGCUCCUGAUCGAAGCCCCGGUAAACGGCGGCCGUAACUAUAACGGUCCUAAGGUAGCGAAAUUCCUUGUCGGGUAAGUUCCGACCUGCACGAAUGGCGUAAUGAUGGCCAGGCUGUCUCCACCCGAGACUCAGUGAAAUUGAACUCGCUGUGAAGAUGCAGUGUACCCGCGGCAAGACGGAAAGACCCCGUGAACCUUUACUAUAGCUUGACACUGAACAUUGAGCCUUGAUGUGUAGGAUAGGUGGGAGGCUUUGAAGUGUGGACGCCAGUCUGCAUGGAGCCGACCUUGAAAUACCACCCUUUAAUGUUUGAUGUUCUAACGUGGACCCGUGAUCCGGGUUGCGGACAGUGUCUGGUGGGUAGUUUGACUGGGGCGGUCUCCUCCUAAAGAGUAACGGAGGAGCACGAAGGUUGGCUAAUCCUGGUCGGACAUCAGGAGGUUAGUGCAAUGGCAUAAGCCAGCUUGACUGCGAGCGUGACGGCGCGAGCAGGUGCGAAAGCAGGUCAUAGUGAUCCGGUGGUUCUGAAUGGAAGGGCCAUCGCUCAACGGAUAAAAGGUACUCCGGGGAUAACAGGCUGAUACCGCCCAAGAGUUCAUAUCGACGGCGGUGUUUGGCACCUCGAUGUCGGCUCAUCACAUCCUGGGGCUGAAGUAGGUCCCAAGGGUAUGGCUGUUCGCCAUUUAAAGUGGUACGCGAGCUGGGUUUAGAACGUCGUGAGACAGUUCGGUCCCUAUCUGCCGUGGGCGCUGGAGAACUGAGGGGGGCUGCUCCUAGUACGAGAGGACCGGAGUGGACGCAUCACUGGUGUUCGGGUUGUCAUGCCAAUGGCACUGCCCGGUAGCUAAAUGCGGAAGAGAUAAGUGCUGAAAGCAUCUAAGCACGAAACUUGCCCCGAGAUGAGUUCUCCCUGAGACUUAGAGUCUCCUGAAGGAACGUUGAAGACGACGACGUUGAUAGGCCGGGUGUGUAAGCGCAGCGAUGCGUUGAGCUAACCGGUACUAAUGAACCGUGAGGCUUAACCUUACAACGCCGAAG
rnacentral:rRNA from 1 species